UACGGAGGGAGCUAGCGUUGUUCGGAAUUACUGGGCGUAAAGCGUGCGUAGGCGGUUAUUCAAGUCAGAGGUGAAAGCCCGGGGCUCAACCCCGGAACGGCCUUGAAACUAGGUAACUAGAAUCUUGGAGAGGUUAGUGGAAUUCCGAGUGUAGAGGUGAAAUUCGUAGAUAUUCGGAAGAACACCAGUGGCGAAGGCGACUAACUGGACAAGUAUUGACGCUGAGGUACGAAAGCGUGGGGAGCAAACAGG
rnacentral:rRNA from 1 species